UACGGAGGGUGCGAGCGUUGUCCGGAAUCACUGGGCGUAAAGGGCGCGUAGGCGGCUCAUGAAGGCUGUGGUGAAAGUCCGGGGCUCAACCUCGGAUCGGCCGUGGCGACUCGUGGGCUGGAGCACUGUAGAGGCGGGUGGAAUUCCGGGUGUAGCGGUGGAAUGCGCAGAUAUCAGGAGGAACACCGAUGGCGAAGGCAGGUCACUGGGCCGCAACUGACGCUGAGGAGCGAAAGCAUGGGGAGCGAACAGG
rnacentral:rRNA from 1 species